rnacentral:rRNA from 1 species
UGUAUCCCCAUUGAGGUGUGGAAAGGUCUCGGGGACAUAGCGAUAGUAUGGAUAACCAAGCUUUUCAACCUCAUUUUUCGGGCAAACAAGAUGCCAGAAGAAUGGAGACGGAGUAUAUUAGUACCAAUCUUCAAGAACAAGGGGGAUGUUCAGAGUUGUACUAAUUACCGUGGAAUUAAGCUGAUGAGCCAUACAAUGAAGCUAUGGGAGAGAGUCAUUGAGCACCGCUUAAGAAGAAUGACAAGCGUGACCAACAAUCAGUUUGGUUUCAUGCCUGGGAGGUCGACCAUGGAAGCCAUUUUCUUGGUACGACAACUUAUGGAGAGAUAUAGGGAGCAUAAGAAGGACUUGCAUAUGGUGUUCAUUGACUUGGAGAAGGCCUAUGAUUAG